rnacentral:rRNA from 1 species
UACGGAGGGUGCAAGCGUUAUCCGGAUUCACUGGGUUUAAAGGGUGCGUAGGUGGGCAGGUAAGUCAGUGGUGAAAUCUCCGGGCUUAACCCGGAAACUGCCAUUGAUACUAUCUGUCUUGAAUACCGUGGAGGUGAGCGGAAUAUGUCAUGUAGCGGUGAAAUGCUUAGAUAUGACAUAGAACACCCAUUGCGAAGGCAGCUCACUACGGAGUCAUUGACGCUGAGGCACGAAAGCGUGAGGAUCAAACAGG